UCGAACGGGGUAGCAGCGAUGCUAUCCAGUGGCGGACGGGUGAGUAACACGUGGGAAUCUGCCUUUGGAUGGGGGAUAGCAGGCCGAAAGGCCUAUUAAUACCGCAUAUGCCGCGAGGUAAAAGGAGCAAUCCGUCUGAAGAUGAGCCCGCGCCCGAUUAGCUAGUUGGUAGGGUAAAGGCCUACCAAGGCAACGAUCGGUAGCUGGUCUGAGCCGAUGAUCAGCCACAACGGAACUGAGACACGGUCCAUACUCCUACGGGAGGCAGCAGUGGGGAAUUUUACACAAUGGGCGAAAGCCUGAUGUAGCGACACCGCGUGAGCGAAGAAGCCUUUUGGGGUGUAAAGUCUCUGUCAACCAGGGACGAAACAAUGACGGUAUCUAAAGGAGGGACAUCGGUCCAUCAAAGGUGCCCAUCGGGGACACACAUAAAUUCCCAGGACAUCAACA
rnacentral:rRNA from 1 species